rnacentral:tRNA from 1 species
GGGGACAUGGGGUAAUCAGGCAUCCUAUUGGGCUCCAGUCAGGUUUUGAUUAGAAACGGGUCAACUGAUAUGGUGAUGAUUGACUGGAACUAUGAACCGGGAAGAGACCCGCAGAUCUGGGUUCAAAUCCCAGUGUCCCCA